ensembl:snoRNA
AUCCCCUGUGGCACAUCAACAGGACAACCGAGAUUUCAUCCUCCUGGGCGGGAUGUGCCUCCCUCAAACCUUGCUACUGGGCACAUUACCUGUCCAACA